rnacentral:pre_miRNA from 1 species
UCAAUUCCGUAGUGCAUUGCAGUGUUUUUAAACUACAACUGCAUGCUCUGCGGACUUGGCA